UUUUUUAAAAAAAAAAAAGUCACUUUGAAGCAAAAAGGAUAGGUAAUUAUUAUUAGUAUUAUUUUCUAAAUCAAUCAAAAGCAUACCUAUUUUUUCAGAUU